GGCAGUGUAAGGAGGAUUUGGCAGCGAUGCAAAGCAGAGAGUUGAUACAGGGAAUGGAAAAUGGUUACCACAGUGCAACUAAUAAGUAUUAUCAAAGCUCUUUGGCCCGGCCUUGAGGAAUCUAUUCUCAGAAAAGGACAGUUUAAUCUAGACACCCUAAUGGGCAUCAUGGCUUCCAGUGCGGAUACUGAUCGAGGGAGCAGAGGGAGUUUUCGGCAACAAGGUGAGAGGUGAAUCAGAUUAGCUGAGUAGUGUCAGAAGGAAAUUUCCAUCUUGGUGGAGGGAAAAUCUGCUGCCAGGUCAGUUCCUCUCUUUUAACUCUCUUCUUCUUAUGGAUGUUGAUGUAAUCGCGAGUUCAUUAAUCAGCCGAAAAAAGAUUUUCACUUGCCAGAAGUCACUUUUCAGCAAUCAGGUUAUCCAGUUUAAAGGGACAGUUCAUCCCAAAAUCAAAAUUUUUCCUCUUACCUGUAGUGCUAUUUAUCCAUCUAGAGUGUUUUGGUGUGAGUUGCCGAGUUUUGGAGAUAUCGGCCGUAGAGAUGUCUGUACAGAUGUAGUUGAGCAAUUGCAUCAUAUUUAUAUACUGUAUAACAAGACAAUAUGUUACUUUUUCUCCUGACAUUAAUAAUAAAAUAUCUGCUCUGAUCUUUUUUGUACAGGCCACAGAUGGAUGCAUGUUCUACUGAUGUUGUUGUAAUUCUUGCUGGUCACCAGCAGAGGCAUCACCAGACUUUUCCUCGCCGCUCAGUGCUGGCUCCUGUAUGUGCGGAUCUUGCGGCUGAGGUUACGAGCCAGCCGGUCGACGGCGCUGCCGAUGUGUCCCAGCUCGUUCUUGGUCGUCAGGCCCUCGAUGUUU